rnacentral:misc_RNA from 1 species
AUUCAGAACAACUUCUGAUAAGAAAAAUAAGUCCAGCAAACAAUAAACUUUGGUACGAUGAUGACACAGAUUGAGUAAGAAUGAGUAAACUGAAAUUGGUAUGUCCUAAACCCGUUUAACGUAUGACAACAUCUGCAAACACCUUUCCCACCACCAAUCCAUCCAAAACAAAUGAGAGAGAAAGAAAGCGUGUUUGAGAUUGCAGUGAGUAAAUUGUACUACCACAUUUCCUCCAAUAAUCCAAAGACAAAACAAUCACAUAGCUGAAGAAUGAAUCUUUUUUUUCAUGCAGCUCAAUGAAGUAAACCUAGCUUG